AGGAAAAGUCAUUGAUGUUUUAGUUCGUCCAGGUCUUUCUUGUAAGGAUGAGAGUGCUGAAUUCUAAGGUCUCUAAAGUUGAAACCAGAAGUCUGAUCAUGGACUUUAAUCGCAUCUACAACAUACCUUCACAGCAGCACCUAGGUUUGUGUUCGAAUAACUGGGGGAUGUGGCCUAGUCAAGUUCACAUAUGCAUCACAGUCCACCCCUUGUGACACCCAUACUUAUCUCCUUAAGCCAUAUUAAUCUCCAAACAAAGGCAAUAAGAGAGUCACAAUUUCACCUGACAUGUUACAGCUGAAAACGUGCAGACUUACUCAGAGGACAAUGCAACGUCCUGGUAGGAUGCUCCUGCUGCUUCUUUGAUCCUGUGAUAAAAAGUUAACCAUUAUGAAUACACUUCAUAUUAGAGAUGGCAAGUAGAUAAGAGAGGGAAGAACAUAUCCCUAACCUUUUGGAUGCCUUCCUCUAUCAUAUACCAAGGCUGCUCUGACCUUUUGACUGAUUUGGUGUAGGCCACCUAUGGGCCCUUGGUUCAGUUGACCAUCCAAACUGUUAGAGUCCUUGGGUUAAAACAUCAAGUUCAGAACCUCUGCUUAGUGGACCCACAUCCAUCUGACGGCAGCGGCUGUUGCCAUCACACCAGCCAGAGCAGCGAGGGGCGGCUGGGGCUGCACACGCCAUGGAGCCAGUGGGAGCCCCGCCCCUUCCGAGUUAGGGCGGGAGCGGUGCUUCCGCAGCCGCCCAAACUAAGGCUGCAGACCCAGGCCUCCUGCUCUACUGGGCGGGGCUACAGCUGCCCAAACAGCGGCUGUGGAUCUGAGCCUCGCUGUGCUCUUGGACAGGGCCAGGAGCAGGCAGGAUCUGCCCUCCUGUGUGCAGUUGUGACCACUGGAGGAGGCUGCAGACCUGAGCCUUCCGCUUCACAGAGCAGGCAGGACCUGAGAACAAGCAGGAAGCCUGCCCCUUCCGAGUUGGCGGGGUGGGAGCUCCCCAGGUGCAGCUGUGGCCACCCUCCCAGGCGCAGGACCAAGGUAUUUCUGCAGCAUGCACCCUUGGGGGCCCAGGAAGCCCCUCCCCACCCAUCUCUGCAGGCUUGGGGUGUCUGCUUCCACUGCCUGGCCCUUCACCUCUCCCGGCACCUGCUCCAAUCUUGGAGCAAGGUUGGGACGGAGCCCUGGGGCCAUGAAUGGCAGUGGGAGGCCUGGGCAGAAAAGGGUCACACUCUGUAACUCAUCUUUCAGAGUCUUCCAGGACUUAAGUGUAGUUAUAGAGAAGGAAAGGGGUGGUGGGAGGGUGUCUUGAGGAGAAUCUGCAGUGCUUUGCAGGGCAACUUCAGGCAAAGAAAGGCUAGCUUUUCAGGCAAGAGUGGAAGAGCCGCUUCCACUGGCAAAGACGACAGGAGAAUUUAGGGGUUCAGUGUCCCUAGCUUCAUGUCUCCCUUGCAGAUUUCGGGAUCCUAUUCUUUCCCAAUCAAUGUCCUCACUUUAACAGAAGACACUCUAGAAAGUUGGGAAAUCAAUUUGCCUUGUAAUUCAGUCACUUGCUGAAUGAGCCGCAGGGCUACAGGAGAUGAGAAUUUCUUUCAGGGCAGACAUAGCUUUCAGAUCAGUGAAAAGUUUGAGCUGGGAAUCUGAAGCCCUGAGCUCAUCCUUUUCUUUCACAACUCUCUAACGUGCUGAGAUAAUUCCAUUAUACUUCUUACCUCGACUAAAAUAUUCUAAUAUGGAAAACGUGCAGUCCCUUAGUGUCUCACCUUCAAUAGGUAUUUUAUUAGAAGAAUCCAGUGGUGAUAUUUUGUGUAUCUCUAUUGCCACAUCUUGUCGUGGAUUACCAGGGCCCUCUUUACUAUGGGAAAUAGAGUCAUGAAUGCCUUUAAUAAGAUGAGAAAGUUGGCCGGGUGCGGUGGCUCACACCUGUAAUCCCACCACUUUGGGAGGCCAAGGUGGGCGGAUCACCUGAGGUCGAGAGUUCGAGACCUGCCUGGCCAAUAUGGCGAAACCUCGUUUCUACUAAAAAUACAAAAAAUUAGCUGGGCAUGGUGGCAGGCGCCUGUAAUCCCAGCUACUCGGGAGGCUGAGGGAGGAGAAUCACUUGAACCCAGAAGGCAGAGGUUGUAGUGAGCCGAGAUCGCGCCGCUGCACUCCAGCCUGGCGAUAGAGCAAGAAUCUGUCUAAAAAAAAAAAAAAAAAAAA
rnacentral:lncRNA from 1 species